AUUGAACGCUGGCGGCAGGCUUAACACAUGCAAGUCGAGCGGGGGAAGGUAGCUUGCUACCGGACCUAGCGGUGGACGGGUGAGUAAUGCUUAGGAAUCUGCCUAUUAGUGGGGGACAACAUCUCGAAAGGGAUGCUAAUACCGCAUACGUCCUACGGGAGAAAGCAGGGGAUCUUCGGACCUUGCGCUAAUAUAUGAGCCUAAGUCGGAUUAGCUAGUUGGUGGGGUAAAGGCCUACCAAGGCGACGAUCUGUAGCGGGUCUGAGAGGAUGAUCCGCCAAACUGGGACGGAGACACGGCGCAGACUCCUACGGGAGGCAGCAGUGGGGAAUAUUGGACAAUGGGGGGAACCCUGAUCCAGCCAUGCCGCGUGUGUGAAGAAGGCCUUAUGGUUGUAAAGCACUUUAAGCGAGGAGGAGGCUACUCUAGUUAAUACCUAGGGAUAGUGGACGUUACUCGCAGAAUAAGCACCGGCUAACUCUGUGCCAGCCGCCGCGGUAA
rnacentral:rRNA from 1 species